GUCACAACGCCGCCUACCACAACCACAACAGAGGGCUUGCGCGUCGUUCCUGACUGCACCGCUGUCCUGCCAACAAUAAGGCCCAUGAGCAACAUGCACUAUCAUAUGGAGGAUAGACUGAGGAAAGACACGCAACCAAAUGUACACUAAUCGGAUGUGCAGGUUGUGAGGAGCUACAUUGACAUACCAUGUAGGAAGAGGAAAUGGCAGCUUGUUUGGCUGCAGAAUCAACCAAUGUUUUCCCAUGUGUCACAGGAUCACAGCACACCUAAUAUAAAUAUAAGAUUACUACAAAUUGUGGCUUAAAUGCAUGAUGUCUUCCCAGAGGUGGUAAGAGACAAAUAUGAAGGCGAGAGAGGCAACUAUGCAUCUGAGGACCACAGGCGAAAGUCAAGACAAGUACUACGCAACAAGCCAGCACUGAGACCCAUGUUUCUGCACCAGGAUGCCUGUAGCACAGUCAUCCCUCUCAUGUCCAUGCAUAUGAAGCGGCUGAAGAUAAUCCGGCAUGCCCCAGGCUCGGGCUCCAGAGAGUAAAGAAACUUGACAGUCACAUGACAGCACAUGCCUGAUAACAGGCCUUCUGCAUCUACUGGGCUCCACCAACAUUGUCUCACUGAAAUAAAUGGAUGAUAACAGCCUGUGAUGUGAUGAUAACACUUAUUCAAGUCAAAGCGGGUGCACCCACACACACAUGCACACACACACUUUUAAAAAGAUGAUUUCAUAUUAAA